GACGAACGCUGGCGGCGUGGAUUAGGCAUGCAAGUCGAACGGUAUCAUCCUUUCGGGGAUGAGAGAGUGGCGAACGGGUGAGUAACACGUAGGUGAUCUACCCUCAAGACGGGGACAACCCAGGGAAACUUGGGCUAAUACCGGAUGUGAGCUAUCGUGAGAUAGUUUGAAAGGUGGCUUCGGCUGCCGCUUGAGGAUGAGCCUGCGUCCUAUUAGCUAGUUGGUGAGGUAACGGCUCACCGAGGCAGUGAUAGGUAGGCGGCCUUAACGGGUGGUCGCCCACACUGGGAUUGAGAUACGGCCCAGACUCCUACGGGAGGCAGCAGUCGAGAAUAGUCUACAAUGGUCGAAAGACUGAUAGUGCGACGCCGCGUGAACGAAGAAGCCCUUCGGGUGUAAGUUCUUUUAUAUGUGAGCAGUGACAUCUAUAUUAAUAGUAUGGGUGUAGAGAUAUUAGCAUAUGAAUAAGCAACGGCUAACUCCGUGCC
rnacentral:rRNA from 1 species